rnacentral:rRNA from 1 species
AUAUCAAUAAGCGGAGGAAAAGAAACCAACAGGGAUUGCCCUAGUAACGGCGAGUGAAGCGGCAACAGCUCAAAUUUGAAAUCUGGCUCUUUUAGAGUCCGAGUUGUAAUUUGCAGAGGGCGCUUUGGCGUUGGCAGCGGUCCAAGUUCUUUGGAACAGGACGUCACAGAGGGUGAGAAUCCCGUACGUGGUCGCUAGCCUUCGCCGUGUAAAGCCCCUUCGACGAGUCGAGUUGUUUGGGAAUGCAGCUCUAAAUGGGAGGUAAAUUUCUUCUAAAGCUAAAUACUGGCCAGAGACCGAUAGCGCACAAGUAGAGUGAUCGAAAGAUGAAAAGCACUUUGGAAAGAGAGUCAAAUAGCACGUGAAAUUGUUGAAAGGGAAGCGCUUGCAGCCAGACUUGCCUGUAGUUGCUUAUCCGGACUUUUGUCCGGUGCACUCUUCUGCGGGCAGGCCAGCAUCAGUUUAGGCGGUUGGAUAAAGGUCUCUAUCACGUACCUCCCUUCGGGGCUGGCCUUAUAGGGGAGACGACAUGCAACCAGCCUGAACUGAGGUCCGCGCAUCUGCUAGGAUGCUGGCGUAAUGGCUGUAAGCGGCCCGUCUUGAAACACGGACCAAGGAGUCUAACAUCUAUGCGAGUGUUUGGGUGUCAAGCCCAGACGCGUAAUGAAAGUGAACGGAGGUGGGAACCUUUUAGGUGCACCAUCGACCGAUCCUGAUGUCUUCGGAUGGAUUUGAGUAAGAGCAUGGCUGUUGGGACCCGAAAGAUGGUGAACUAUGCUUGAAUAGGGUGAAGCCAGAGGAAACUCUGGUGGAGGCUCGCAGCGGUUCUGACGUGCAAAUCGAUCGUCAAAUUUGGGCAUAGGGGCGAAAGACUAAUCGAACUAUCUAGUAGCUGGUUCCUG